rnacentral:rRNA from 1 species
GACGAACGCUGGCGGCGUGCUUAACACAUGCAAGUCGAACGGAAAGGCCCUGCUUUUGUGGGGUGCUCGAGUGGCGAACGGGUGAGUAACACGUGAGUAACCUGCCCUUGACUUUGGGAUAACUUCAGGAAACUGGGGCUAAUACCGGAUAGGAGCUCCUGCUGCAUGGUGGGGGUUGGAAAGUUUCGGCGGUUGGGGAUGGACUCGCGGCUUAUCAGCUUGUUGGUGGGGUAGUGGCUUACCAAGGCUUUGACGGGUAGCCGGCCUGAGCGGGUGACCGGCCCCAUUGGGACUGGGAUGCGGCCCAGACUACUACGGGAGGCAGCAGUGGGGAAUAUUGCACAAUGGGCGGAAGCCUGAUGCAGCAACGCCGCGUGCGGGAUGACGGCCUUCGGGUUGUAAAGCGCUUUCGCCUGUGACGAGGCGUGAGUGACGGUAAUGGGUAAAGAAGCACCGGCUAACUACGUG